AAAUAAUAUUUCACAUAGAGUAUUUAAAAAAUAUAUAUUUGAUCAACCAGAGAACCAUGCUCACAGGCCCAAUGGAUGUGAGAGGAGCCUGUUCCAGAGAGUCCCAGGGAGUGCCCGGGACGGGGCAACCCAGCAUAGUACAGGGCUCUCAGGUCAGGCUGCUGGGGUGGGCCUGACUCUGGAGGCCUGUGCUUUAUGACGGGCCAGUAGUUCCUAUGACUGGCCGCGGUGCACCUUGAGACCCUCAUCUGUAACGUGGCAUCCCAGAGCACCCAACGCUGAGGGUGGUGUGUGAAUCUGGCAAGAUGGCCCUCGCUGGAGGCUGGCUGUCGACGGCAGGCUCUCCCUGCAUCUGCAGGGCCCCGGGUGAGUGUGCGGAUGGGGGCCCAAGUGGCACGUGACUGGGUUUAACGUUAUGGAAUAUUACUAAUAAUAUGUUUUAUUUUCAUGCUUUGACAAACACGUACUUUUAUGUCGCUCUAGUGGGCCGGGUUUGAACUGAGAACUUCCUGGUGGGUCGCUCAGAAUUCUCUGCUGAUUUGGACCACAUUGGAGAGCUGGCCCCAGCCCUCAGCCUGGUCCCCUUACUUUAGCAGCUCCUGUCUGCACCACGGGGCCCUGUUUGAACACAGUGGACAUCUGACUCUUUACAUCCAAGCGGUCACCCUCCCCGAGCUGGCGGGAGCACACGUGCUGGUGAAGUUGUAGGAAAAGGCAAGAGAAAACCCAGCCUAUUGUUGGGAGACAGCAAUGAGCAGAACCAACCCCAGGCCUGGCCCAGAUGUUGGAACUAUCCAAUAGGACUUUAAAACAACUAUGACAAACAUGUUGACGAUCUAGUGGAAAAGUGGACACCAUACGUGAACAGAUGGGGAAUGGCAGCCAAGACAGAAAGUGUAAAAUGCGUGGAAGAGAUUUUAGGAGGAGGAUGAUGGCACCAUGUGGAAGAUGGGAGGACACAGAGGUGUUCGGACAGUACAGCUGGCUCUCGGUAUUCUUGCGGGAUUGGUUUCAGGAUCUCCUUUGGAUGCCAAAAUCCAAGGAUACUCAAGUCCCUUAUAUAAAAGGGCUUAGCAUUUGCUUCUAACCUGCUGUAUACUUUAAAUCAUCUCCAGAUUACUUAUACCUAACACAAUGGAAACGCUAUGUAAAUAGUUAUGCUGUAUUGUUUAGGGAAUAAUGACAAGAAAAAAAGCCCGUAUGUGUUCAGUAGAGAUGUAAUUUUUUUUCUGGGUAUUUCCAAUCCACGGUCAGUUGAAUCCAUCGAUGUGGAACCCUCAGAUACAGAGGGCCAGCUGUGCUGCUAGAGUGGGUAAUGACAGGGAAAGCUGUGACAGAGCUUUGUCAUUCAAGGAGGGUCUUGGUAUUUGUUCUUGUUUCAAUUUUAGCAAAACUGAUGUUGCUCUGAUAGAAGCUCCUGUCAAACUGAUGUCUUAUCCUUCUUAGUGCCUCAAACUCUAUCUUAUUCAGACAUGUUAUAACAAGUUCAUGUGAGUUUAUUUUGGUGUAAAAACAUUCUGAAAUCCAUGCAUAGUUUUUUCAUAAUACACAUUCUCUAUGAGCCUUUUGAAGA